GAUGAACGCUGGCGGCGUGCCUAAUACAUGCAAGUCGAGCGAACGGACGAGAAGCUUGCUUCUCUGAUGUUAGCGGCGGACGGGUGAGUAACACGUGGAUAACCUACCUAUAAGACUGGGAUAACUUCGGGAAACCGUCGCUAAUACCGGAUAAUAUUUUGAACCGCAUGGUUCAAAAGUGAAAGACGGUCUUGCUGUCACUUAUAGAUGGAUCCGCGCUGCAUUAGCUAGUUGGUAAGGUAACGGCUUACCAAGGCAACGAUGCAUAGCCGACCUGAGAGGGUGAUCGGCCACACUGGAACUGGGACACGGUCCAGACUCCUGCGGGAGGCACCAGUAGGGAAUCUUCCGCAAUGGGCGAAAGCCUGACGGAGCAACGCCGCGUGAGUGAUGAAGGUCUUCGGAUCGUAAAACUCUGUUAUUAGUGAAGAACAUAUGUGUAAGUAACUGUGCACAUCUUGACGGUACCUAAUCAGAAAGCCACGGCUAACUACGUG
rnacentral:rRNA from 1 species